rnacentral:lncRNA from 1 species
UUAACUGUAACCUUAUGUUAUGAUUAUAAAGAUUUCUUGAUUGUUGAAUUAUUUUCGCUGCAAUGAGCUAGUUUAGGCGAGCAUGUGAUGAUAGGUGUUUAAUCUAAUGGAUGAUUUAAAUAACUCGUGUUACAGAGCUGGUUUAUAUUGUGUUCGAGUGACAUCCUAUGUAUGUUGUUGUUUUAAUUUCGCUUUAUUUCACGUUUCAAGGUUUAGGGUGUUACAUAGUGGUAUCAGAGAAGUUCGGUCCAUCCGGUCAG